UACAGGGGGGGCAAGCGUUGUUCGGAAUUACUGGGCGUAAAGGGCUCGUAGGCGGCCAAUUAAGUCCGACGUGAAAUCCCCAGGCUUAACCUGGGAACUGCGUCGGAUACUGAUUGGCUUGAAUCCGGGAGAGGGAUGCGGAAUUCCAGGUGUAGCGGUGAAAUGCGUAGAUAUCUGGAGGAACACCGGUGGCGAAGGCGGCAUCCUGGACCGGCAUUGACGCUGAGGUGCGAAAGCGUGGGGAGCAAACAGG
rnacentral:rRNA from 1 species